rnacentral:rRNA from 1 species
GGACGGGUGAGUAACGCGUGGGUAACCUGCCUCAUACAGGGGGAUAACAGUCAGAAAUGACUGCUAAUACCGCAUAAGACCGCAGUACCGCAUGGUACGGUGGUAAAAACUCCGGUGGUAUGAGAUGGACCCGCGUCUGAUUAGCUAGUUGGUAAGGUAACGGCUUACCAAGGCGACGAUCAGUAGCCGGCCUGAGAGGGCGACCGGCCACAUUGGGACUGAGACACGGCCCAAACUCC